rnacentral:rRNA from 8 species
AGAGUUUGAUCCUGGCUCAGGACGAACGCUGGCGGCGUGCCUAAUACAUGCAAGUCGAACGAACUCUGGUAUUGAUUGGUGCUUGCAUCAUGAUUUACAUUUGAGUGAGUGGCGAACUGGUGAGUAACACGUGGGAAACCUGCCCAGAAGCGGGGGAUAACACCUGGAAACAGAUGCUAAUACCGCAUAACAACUUGGACCGCAUGGUCCGAGUUUGAAAGAUGGCUUCGGCUAUCACUUUUGGAUGGUCCCGCGGCGUAUUAGCUAGAUGGUGGGGUAACGGCUCACCAUGGCAAUGAUACGUAGCCGACCUGAGAGGGUAAUCGGCCACAUUGGGACUGAGACACGGCCCAAACUCCUACGGGAGGCAGCAGUAGGGAAUCUUCCACAAUGGACGAAAGUCUGAUGGAGCAACGCCGCGUGAGUGAAGAAGGGUUUCGGCUCGUAAAACUCUGUUGUUAAAGAAGAACAUAUCUGAGAGUAACUGUUCAGGUAUUGACGGUAUUUAACCAGAAAGCCACGGCUAACUACGUGCCAGCAGCCGCGGUAAUACGUAGGUGGCAAGCGUUGUCCGGAUUUAUUGGGCGUAAAGCGAGCGCAGGCGGUUUUUUAAGUCUGAUGUGAAAGCCUUCGGCUCAACCGAAGAAGUGCAUCGGAAACUGGGAAACUUGAGUGCAGAAGAGGACAGUGGAACUCCAUGUGUAGCGGUGAAAUGCGUAGAUAUAUGGAAGAACACCAGUGGCGAAGGCGGCUGUCUGGUCUGUAACUGACGCUGAGGCUCGAAAGUAUGGGUAGCAAACAGGAUUAGAUACCCUGGUAGUCCAUACCGUAAACGAUGAAUGCUAAGUGUUGGAGGGUUUCCGCCCUUCAGUGCUGCAGCUAACGCAUUAAGCAUUCCGCCUGGGGAGUACGGCCGCAAGGCUGAAACUCAAAGGAAUUGACGGGGGCCCGCACAAGCGGUGGAGCAUGUGGUUUAAUUCGAAGCUACGCGAAGAACCUUACCAGGUCUUGACAUACUAUGCAAAUCUAAGAGAUUAGACGUUCCCUUCGGGGACAUGGAUACAGGUGGUGCAUGGUUGUCGUCAGCUCGUGUCGUGAGAUGUUGGGUUAAGUCCCGCAACGAGCGCAACCCUUAUUAUCAGUUGCCAGCAUUAAGUUGGGCACUCUGGUGAGACUGCCGGUGACAAACCGGAGGAAGGUGGGGAUGACGUCAAAUCAUCAUGCCCCUUAUGACCUGGGCUACACACGUGCUACAAUGGAUGGUACAACGAGUUGCGAACUCGCGAGAGUAAGCUAAUCUCUUAAAGCCAUUCUCAGUUCGGAUUGUAGGCUGCAACUCGCCUACAUGAAGUCGGAAUCGCUAGUAAUCGCGGAUCAGCAUGCCGCGGUGAAUACGUUCCCGGGCCUUGUACACACCGCCCGUCACACCAUGAGAGUUUGUAACACCCAAAGUCGGUGGGGUAACCUUUUAGGAACCAGCCGCCUAAGGUGGGACAGAUGAUUAGGGUGAAGUCGUAACAAGGUAGCCGUAGGAGAACCUGCGGCUGGAUCACCU